rnacentral:rRNA from 1 species
CGGCGGACGGGUGAGUAACGCGUGGGUAACCUGCCUCAUACAGGGGGAUAACAGUUAGAAAUGGCUGCUAAUACCGCAUAAGACCACAGUGCUGCAUGGUACAGUGGUAAAAACUCCGGUGGUAUGAGAUGGACCCGCGUCUGAUUAGGUAGUUGGUGAGGUAACGGCCCACCAAGCCGACGAUCAGUAGCCGACCUAAGAGGGUGACCGGCCACAUUGGGACUGAGACACGGCCCAGACUCCUACGGGAGGCAGCAGUGGGGAAUAUUGCACAAUGGGCGAAAGCCUGAUGCAGCGACGCCGCGUGAAGGAUGAAGUAUUUCGGUAUGUAAACUUC